rnacentral:rRNA from 1 species
ACCUACGGGGGGCAGCAGUAGGGAAUCUUCCACAAUGGGCGAAAGCCUGAUGGAGCAACGCCGCGUGGGUGAAGAAGGUCUUCGGAUCGUAAAACCCUGUUGUUAGAGAAGAAAGUGCGUGAGAGUAACUGUUCACGUUUCGACGGUAUCUAACCAGAAAGCCACGGCUAACUACGUGCAGCAGCCGCGGUAAUACGUAGGUGGCAAGCGUUAUCCGGAUUUAUUGGGCGUAAAGGGAACGCAGGCGGUCUUUUAAGUUUGAUGUGAAAGCCUUCGGCUUAACCGGAGUAGUGCAUUGGAAACUG